rnacentral:ncRNA from 2 species
ACACCAUCCAGAGCGGCUGAGAGACCUGGCUCCGCGACGCCGCAGCAAGCCUGUAAUCCGCAGGGAGUGCUAACGCCAGGUUCGAUGGAGC